UACGAAGGGGGCUAGCGUUGCUCGGAAUCACUGGGCGUAAAGGGUGCGUAGGCGGGUUUUUAAGUCAGAGGUGAAAUCCUGGAGCUCAACUCCAGAACUGCCUUUGAUACUGAAGAUCUUGAGUUCGGGAGAGGUGAGUGGAACUGCGAGUGUAGAGGUGAAAUUCGUAGAUAUUCGCAGGAACACCAGUGGCGAAGGCGGCUUACUGGUCCGAUACUGACGCUGAGGUGCGAAAGCGUGGGGAGCAAACAGG
rnacentral:rRNA from 1 species